rnacentral:rRNA from 1 species
CGAACGCUGGCGGCGUGGAUAAGACAUGCAAGUCGGACGCUUGAUUUUGUAGCAAUAUGAGGAUACGGGAGUGGCGAAAGGGUGCGUAACACGUGGGUAAUUUGUCUGAGAGUUCAGGAUAAUUCGCUGAAAGGCGGAGUAAUACUGGAUGUGGAUAUUGGUUGGGAACAGCUGAUAUCGUAAAAGCCGGGGACCGCAAGGCCUGGUGCUCUUAGGUAAGCCCGCGACCUAUCAGGCUAGUUGGUGAGGUAAGAGCCCACCAAGGCGGAGACGGGUAGCUGGUCUGAGAGGACGACCAGCCACACUGGAACUGAGACACGGUCCAGACACCUACGGGUGGCAGCAGUCGAGAAUUUUUCUCAAUGGGGGAAACCCUGAAGGAGCGACGCCGCGUGGGGGAUGAAGGGCUUUCCGGCUCGUAAACCCCUGUCAUUUGUGAGCAAGUGUUAUUGUUUAAGAGAUGAUGACAUUGAUAGUAGCAAAAGAGGAAGGGACGGCUAACUCUGUGCCAGCAGCUGC